CCUACGGGUGGCAGCAGUGAGGAAUAUUGGUCAAUGGUCGGGAGACUGAACCAGCCAAGCCGCGUGAGGGAUGAAGGUACAGAGUAUCGUAAACCUCUUUUGUCAGGGAACAAAGGCGGGGACGCGUCCCCGGAUGAGUGUACCCGAAGAACAAGCAUCGGCAAACUCCGUGCCAGCAGCCGCGGUAAUAAGGAGGAUGCGAGGGUGGUCGGGAUGUAUGGGGGUGAUAGGGUGGGAGGGGGGUCUGCUAAGCCAGCGGUCAAAGCCCGGGGGUCAACCGGGGCCCGCCGAUGAAACUGGCAGUCUCGAGUAGGGGAGGAGUAUGCGGAAUGCGCGGUGUAGCAGUGAAAUGCAUAGAUAUCG
rnacentral:rRNA from 1 species